rnacentral:lncRNA from 1 species
AAAGCUCAUUUCCUGAGUUCAACAGGAGGAAAAUCUCCCUUUUUUCCCCAUCUUUUUAUAUUCCCUUUUUUUUUUUUUCUUUUUUUUUUUUUUUGUUUUCCCUUUAAAUUCUCUGGGGUGUCCAGCGGGGUUACUCCGUGCAGGGAGCUCUGCACGCGCUGGGCUUGGCUGGGCUCCGCACAGCAGAGCAGAGCCCCGUGGAGCCCAGCAGAGCCCAGCCAAGCCUGCUAUCUCCCUCGAUCCACUCCUUAUCUCCGGGAGCAGUUGUAGCAAGCAGGGAGCUCCAGCAGAGAAGCUUCCCUCAUCCACUUCCCCCUUCUGUCUGUUUGCCCUGGCAGAAAAGCAGCACUUUAGUAACCAACAGAUAUCCACACCCUUCUUCUUCCGAAGCCCUCUUCAUUUUCCUUGCCUUGAUGCCUCGAUGCACUGUGAGUACAACGCAACCUUGAGAGCAGCCCUGGAAGAAAUCUGAAUGUCCAGUUCUCAAAACAAGAUUUCAGCAUGCGUCACUUCCCUCCUUGGAUUAUUUUGGCCAAGGGUGACAGGAUCGACCAGAAUUCCAGGUUACAGUUCAUUAGUCUGUGACAGCUAGAUUAUUUCUGUCUGCAAGUGGGGCAGUUCUGGUCAUACACAUCAGGAUCUUUUAAACAUUUCCAAGGGUAUUUAUCUUGAUGCAGUUUUUUGUGCCUCUGAACAGGAAUAGAAACGAUUAGACCUGAGCUGUAGGUAUAAUCAACUAGUUAAGAAACUGAAAAUUUAUAAAUUAUAAAUUCUGCCUCCGAUGCAAAAUUUCAGAUGUGCAAAAGAAAAUUCUUUCCAGUUAAGCCUCAGAAAUACACCUUCAGACAGAGCUGUUAGUUCAUACCAUUUGACUUGGGUUUGUGCUAGGCUGGGGAAUCAGAAAAGAAAUGUGCUUUAAAAUCAUCCUGAGUUAGUGAAACAAAUUAUCAAGAGCAUGGAUGGCUAGUCACUGGGAAUGCUUUACUCUGAGAAAUGGUGAGUACUCCAUUGAUGUCAUCAGAUCAAGGCUGGACAUCUUUCAGGAAGGUUUUGUGUCAGAUGAGAAGUUAUUGAGCUCAGCUUGUGAUUAUUUCUACGUCUGAAUUUGGAAUGGUCGACAAGGAACCUGAAAAAGUGAUUACAAAAUAUGAAAGCGGGUUACUGGGGUGCCUUUUUUCAUCUCUCAGUGUAAUGGAAUGAUUCUGGGGAUGAGAAUGAAUUGAGUGUUACCUGAAGUGUGGCUGAGUCAGUACAGCUCUCCACUUGCUCUCAGCGCUGCAUUGACUCAGUAGUGCUGACAGCAGUGAAAAACUCACUUACGGAUUGUCAAUAAAGCAUCAUUUGAAAAUCCA